GAUGAACGCUAGCUACAGGCUUAACACAUGCAAGUCGCGGGGCAGCAUGGGGGUUGCUUGCACUCCCCGAUGGCGACCGGCGCACGGGUGAGUAACGCGUAUCCAACCUGCCCUUCACCACGGGAUAACCCGGCGAAAGUCGGACUAAUACCGUAUGUUGUCCAUUGACGGCCUCCGAUUUGGACGAAAGGCUUGGCGGUGAGGGGUGGGGAUGCGUCCGAUUAGCCAGACGGCGGGGUAACGGCCCACCGUGGCUACGAUCGGUAGGGGUUCUGAGAGGAAGGUCCCCCACACUGGAACUGAGACACGGUCCAGACGCCUACGGGAGGCAGCAGUGAGGAAUAUUGGUCAAUGGGCGUAAGCCUGAACCAGCCAAGUAGCGUGCAGGAUGACGGCCCUAUGGGUUGUAAACUGCUUUUAUGCGGGGAUAAAGUGGCCCACGUGUGGGCUUUUGCAGGUACCGCAUGAAUAAGGACCGGCUAAUUCCGUG
rnacentral:rRNA from 1 species